UGACGACCGGCGCACGGGUGCGUAACGCGUAUAGAACCUACCUUUUACAGGGGAAUAGCCCAGAGAAAUUUGGAUUAAUGCCCCAUAGUAUUAUAGAAUGGCAUCAUUUUAUAAUUAAACAUUUAUGGGUAAAAGAUGGCUAUGCGUUCUAUUAGCUAGAUGGUAAGGUAACGGCUUACCAUGGCAACGAUAGAUAGGGGUCCUGAGAGGGAGAUCCCCCACACUGGUACUGAGACAGGGACCAGACUCC
rnacentral:rRNA from 1 species